rnacentral:rRNA from 1 species
UACGGAGGGUGCGAGCGUUGUCCGGAAUCACUGGGCGUAAAGGGCGCGUAGGUGGCAGGCCAAGCGUGCGGUGAAAGCUCGGGGCUCAACCCCGAGUCGGCCGUGCGAACUGGUCAGCUCGAGCACUGUAGAGGCAGAUGGAAUUCCGGGUGUAGCGGUGGAAUGCGUAGAGAUCCGGAAGAACACCGGUGGCGAAGGCGGUCUGCUGGGCAGUAGCUGACACUGAGGCGCGACAGCGUGGGGAGCAAACAGG